UAUACGACCGUACCGCAAACCGACACUGGUGCGCGAGAUGAGUAUUCUAAGGCGCUUGAGAGAACUCAGGAGAAGGAACUCGGCAAAUUGACACCGUAACUUCGGAAGAAGGUGUGCCCUAUUAGUGUGUAGUGAACAACGAAGCAUGAAUGGGUUGCAAAAAAUCGGUGGCUGCGACUGUUUAUUAAAAACACAGCACUCUGCAAACACGAAAGUGGACGUAUAGGGUGUGACGCCUGCCCGGUGCUGGAAGAUUAAAUGAUGGGGUGCAAGCUCUUGAUUGAAGUCCCAGUAAACGGCGGCCGUAACAAUAACGGUCCUAAGGUAGCGAAAUUCCUUGUCGGGUAAGUUCCGACCUGCACGAAUGGCGUAACGAUGGCCACACUGUCUCCUCCUGAGACUCAGCGAAGUUGAAAUGUUUGUGAUGAUGCAAUCUCCCCGCGGAAAGACGGAAAGACCCUAUGAACCUUUACUGUAGCUUUGUAUUGGACUUUGAACAGAUCUGUGUAGGAUAGGUGGGAGGCUUUGAAGCAGGGUCGCUAGAUCUUGUGGAGCCAACGUUGAAAUACCACCCUGGUGUGUUUGAGGUUCUAACCUAGGUCCAUUAUCUGGAUCGGGGACAGUGCAUGGUAGGCAGUUUGACUGGGGCGGUCUCCUCCCAAAGCGUAACGGAGGAGUUCGAAGGUACGCUAGUUACGGUCGGACAUCGUGACGAUAGUGCAAUGGCAUAAGCGUGCUUAACUGCGAGACUGACAAGUCGAGCAGAUGCGAAAGCAGGACAUAGUGAUCCGGUGGUUCUGUAUGGAAGGGCCAUCGCUCAACGGAUAAAAGGUACUCUGGGGAUAACAGGCUGAUACCGCCCAAGAGUUCAUAUCGACGGCGGUGUUUGGCACCUCGAUGUCGGCUCAUCUCAUCCUGGGGCUGUAGCCGGUCCCAAGGGUAUGGUUGUUCGCCAUUUAAAGAGGUACGUGAGCUGGGUUUAAAACGUCGUGAGACAGUUUGGUCCCUAUCUUCCGUGGGCGCUGCAGAUUUGAGGAAGCCUGCUCCUAGUACGAGAGGACCGGAGUGGACACACCUCUGGUGUAUCGGUUGUCACGCCAGUGGCAUUGCCGAGUAGCUAAGUGUGGAAGAGAUAACCGCUGAAAGCAUCUAAGCGGGAAACUCGUUUCAAGAUGAGAUCUGCCGGGGCCUUGAGCCCCCUAAAGAGUCGUUCAAGACCAGGACGUUGAUAGGUCAGGUGUGGAAGCG
rnacentral:rRNA from 1 species